GCUCAGGAGGAAGCUCAGAUCCCUAAUGGAGCUCUGGUGCCAUCUAAUGGUGAGAUGUUGGAACAUCAGACAUGAGGUGCUGUCUGCAGUGAUUGGCCAGGUGUUCGGACACAUGCAGCCUCUGCAGCUUACCUUCGAGUGUGAACACUCAGCUGCAUGUACAGGCGAUGAGGUCCAUUCCAGUUCCCAUAGACAAUGUCUGUCUUGCCGUCACGGUUGAAGUCUGCUAGAGCAACUCCUCUGCCAUGCUGCAUGGGGUCCUCCACACCUACAGUUUUAUGGCAAAGAAAUUGGAUCCAUACUCGUUGUCACAAAACACAUCAGACCGCGUUUGACUGACAAUGGGCCCCACCACGACGCCUCGCCCUCCUGCACAGACAGAGACAGAGAGACAAGCCUCGGUGGU